GAAAGGCGCGCGAUACAGGGUGACAGCCCCGUACACAAAAAUGCACAUGCUGUGAGCUCGAUGAGUAGGGCGGGACACGUGGUAUCCUGUCUGAAUAUGGGGGGACCAUCCUCCAAGGCUAAAUACUCCUGACUGACCGAUAGUGAACCAGUACCGUGAGGGAAAGGCGAAAAGAACCCCGGCGAGGGGAGUGAAAAAGAACCUGAAACCGUGUACGUACAAGCAGUGGGAGCACGCUUCGGCGUGUGACUGCGUACCUUUUGUAUAAUGGGUCAGCGACUUAUAUUCUGUAGCAAGGUUAACCGAAUAGGGGAGCCGAAGGGAAACCGAGUCUUAACUGGGCGUUAAGUUGCAGGGUAUAGACCCGAAACCCGGUGAUCUAGCCAUGGGCAGGUUGAAGGUUGGGUAACACUAACUGGAGGACCGAACCGACUAAUGUUGAAAAAUUAGCGGAUGACUUGUGGCUGGGGGUGAAAGGCCAAUCAAACCGGGAGAUAGCUGGUUCUCCCCGAAAGCUAUUUAGGUAGCGCCUCGUGAAUUCAUCUCCGGGGGUAGAGCACUGUUUCGGCAAGGGGGUCAUCCCGACUUACCAACCCGAUGCAAACUGCGAAUACCGGAGAAUGUUAUCACGGGAGACACACGGCGGGUGCUAACGUCCGUCGUGAAGAGGGAAACAACCCAGACCGCCAGCUAAGGUCCCAAAGUCAUGGUUAAGUGGGAAACGAUGUGGGAAGGCCCAGACAGCCAGGAUGUUGGCUUAGAAGCAGCCAUCAUUUAAAGAAAGCGUAAUAGCUCACUGGUCGAGUCGGCCUGCGCGGAAGAUGUAACGGGGCUAAACCAUG
rnacentral:rRNA from 1 species